CCUACGGGAGGCAGCAGUGGGGAAUAUUGGGCAAUGGAGGCAACUCUUACCCAGCAAUGCCGCGUGAAUGAAGAAGGUCUUCGGAUUGUAAAGUUCUUUAAUUGGGGACGAAAAAAAUGACGGUACCCAAGGAAUAAGCCCCGGCUAACUACGUGCCAGCAGCCGCGGUAAUACGUAGGGGGCAAGCGUUGUUCGGAAUGACUGGGCGUAAAGGGUGUGUAGGCGGGGUAGCAAGAUAGAAGUGAAAUACCGAGAGCUGAAACCAGGUGGUGCUUCUGAAACUGCUAUACUUGAGUGCAGGAGAGGAAAGUGGAAUUCGUAGUGUAGCGGUGGAAUGCAUAGAUAUUAGGAAGAACAUCAGUGGCGAAGGCGACUUUCCGGACUGUAACUGACGCUGAGGCACGAAAGUGUGGGGAGCAAACAGGAUUAGAUACCCUUGUAGUC
rnacentral:rRNA from 1 species